rnacentral:rRNA from 1 species
UUUGUUUUUUAAUUAAAAACUAGAAUGAAAGGUUAUACAUUCAAAUUUCUUUAUUAAUUUUUAAUAAAUAAUUUAUAUUAAAUAUAAAAAUAUAUUUAUAAAAAAAAAAGACGACAAGACCCUAUUAAAUUUUACUUAUAGUUUAGCUGGGGAAGCUUUUUAAUUAAAAUUUUUUAAAUUUAAUAAAUAAAAAUCUAAUAAAAUUAAAAUUUUAAUAAAUUACUAUAGGGAUAACAGCAUUAUAUUUUUUUAAAGUUCAUAUUAAAAAAAAAAAUUGUGACCUCGAUGUUGAAUUAUAUUUUCUAUAUUUAAUGCAAUAAUUAUAAAAGUAGAUCUGUUCGAUCUUUAAAAUAUUACAUGAUUUGAGUUCAAACCGGUGUAAACCAGGUUGGUUUCUAUCUUUUUAUAUAUUUUUCUAGUACGAAAGGACAAAAAAAUUUUUAUUUCAAUAAAUUAGCAAAUAAAUGCAUUAGAUUUAGAAUCUAAAUAUAUUUAAUA